CUCCACCUGGAAAGGGUCUUUGAGCACAUCAGGUAGGCAGGACUAACUGUUAAGGCCAAAAAAUGUCAAAUAGGCCAAAACAGAGUGACUUACCUGGGACACCAGUUGGGUCGAGGAAUCAUAAACCCCCUAUGGACCAAAGUGGAUGCUAUCCAAAAGUGGCUGGUCCCAAAGUCAAAGAAACAGGUCCAAUCCUUCUUAGG